AUUGAACGCUGGCGGCAGGCCUAACACAUGCAAGUCGAGCGGAUGAAGGGAGCUUGCUCCUGGAUUCAGCGGCGGACGGGUGAGUAAUGCCUAGGAAUCUGCCUGGUAGUGGGGGAUAACGUCCGGAAACGGGCGCUAAUACCGCAUACGUCCUGAGGGAGAAAGUGGGGGAUCUUCGGACCUCACGCUAUCAGAUGAGCCUAGGUCGGAUUAGCUAGUUGGUGGGGUAAAGGCCUACCAAGGCGAGGAUCCGUAACUGGUCUGCGAGGAUGAUCAGUCACAGUGGAACUGAGACACGGUCCAGACUCCUACGGGAGGCAGCAGUGGGGAAUGUUGGACAAUGGGCGAAAGCCUGAUCCAGCCAUGCCGCGUGUGUGAAGAAGGUCUUCGGAUUGUAAAGCACUUUAAGUGGGGAGGAAGGGCAGUAAGUUAAUACCUUGCUGUUUUGACGUUACCAACAGAAUAAGCACCGGCUAACUUCGUG
rnacentral:rRNA from 1 species